UACGUAGGGUGCAAGCGUUAAUCGGAAUUACUGGGCGUAAAGCGUGCGCAGGCGGUUCUAUAAGACAGAUGUGAAAUCCCCGGGCUCAACCUGGGAACUGCAUUUGUGACUGUAGAGCUGGAGUACGGUAGAGGGGGAUGGAAUUCCGCGUGUAGCAGUGAAAUGCGUAGAUAUGCGGAGGAACACCGAUGGCGAAGGCAAUCCCCCUGGACCUGUACUGACGCUCAUGCACGAAAGCGUGGG
rnacentral:rRNA from 1 species